CCUACGGGGUGCUGCAGUGAGGAAUAUUGGUCAAUGGACGAGAGUCUGAACCAGCCAAGUAGCGUGAAGGAUGACUGCCCUAUGGGUUGUAAACUUCUUUUAUAAAGGACUAAAACGAGGCACGUGUGCCUUUUUGCAUGUACUUUAUGAAUAAGGAUCGGCUAAAUCCGUGCCAGCAGCCGCGGUAAUACGGAGGAUCCGAGCGUUAUCCGGAUUUAUUGGGUUUAAAGGGAGCGUAGAUGGGUUGUUAAGUCAGUUGUGAAAGUUUGCGGCUCAAACGUAAAAUUGCAAUUGAUACUGGCAUUCUUGAGUACAGUUGAGGUAGGCGGAAUUCGUGGUGUAGCGGUGAAAUGCUUAGAUAUCACGAAGAACCCCGAUUGCGAAGGCAGCUUACUAACCUGUGACUGACAUUGAUGCUCGAAAGUGUGGGUAUCAAACAGGAUUAGAUACCCGAGUAGUC
rnacentral:rRNA from 1 species